rnacentral:rRNA from 1 species
UACGUAGGGUGCAAGCGUGUCCGGAAUUAUUGGGCGUAAAGAGCUCGUAGGCGGUUUGUCGCGUCUGCUGUGAAAACCUAGGGCUUAACCCUGGGCCUGCAGUGGGUACGGGCAGACUAGAGUGCGGUAGGGGAGACUGGAAUUCCUGGUGUAGCGGUGAAAUGCGCAGAUAUCAGGAGGAACACCGGUGGCGAAGGCGGGUCUCUGGGCCGUAACUGACGCUGAGGAGCGAAAGCGUGGGGAGCAAACAGG